rnacentral:lncRNA from 1 species
CUGACCAGCCAAAGCCUUGGCCAGUGCGUUCACUUCAACGAUCUUCUGGGCAGCAUACGCCAACCAUGACUAGAUUUCGUCGUCAAGCUUGGUCUCGUUUACAAGAUCGACGGCGGUGUGGAGAAGAGAGCAGGAGGUUGAGACUACAAGCUUGUCUGAAUCAAUGCAGAAAGAUAUAACAGGUCAACGGUUGAAAUUUUUGUUUCUCAGUAAUCCCUUAGUAUAUUGUCGGUGACUCGGUAAAAGGAAGAUGAUUAUGGAAGCACUUAUAUUAUAUACCUUUUCCAACAACACCCUCAAGUGCCUCCAAGGUGCUGAGGGACGCAGCAAAGUCGUUGGCCCAGAUGUUCCUUCCAUCAACAACACCAGCGAAGAGGUACUUUCCCUCGGGGAAACCAGCCUUGACCAAAUCAAGGGUCUUGGUGCCACGAACCAAGUCAAAUCCAAAGGCAGUCACACCCUUCAACGAAGUCAGGGUCUUGUAUGCUUCAGCAGGGAUAUCAGCGAAGUAAGUCUCAACAAGAACAUUCAAACCAGAAAGAGUUGAUUCAAGUUCAGCAUAGGCUCCAGUGAAGGCCUGGAGUUUGUGGCCCUCAAGAUCCAUAACGAGAACAGGCUCGUCGAGCUGAAUCCAGGUGGCACCAGCAGCCUUAAGCUCGGUGAUCACUUCCCUGUAGACAAAUCAAAGUAAUAAUGUCAGUGUUGGAUUACCAAUAACAUCAAGGACAUGGAUUGAAAAGUAAAAGAAAGAAUAAAGUGGUUGCAUACUUGUAGACAGGGAGAAUUUUGGGGAGAAGAGAGAGAAGGUCAAAUGACUUCUCCACACCCUUGGCAGCCUUAGAAAGCAACAAGUAAGAGACUGGGCCAACAAGUACAGGGACGGUGUCAACACCAAGCUGCAUAAACAUCAAGCUUAUCGGAUCAGAACUUUAGAUAGAAACUACUUUUGGUGCACAAAAGACAACCAGCGUCAAACUAAUCUUUAACAACUAUUCUAUCAACCGGUUGUAUUUUGUGAGUAAGCAAGCGAGUAUAUUCUUAACGUAUCAACAUCUUCUGUGAAAACCAUUCAAUAUAUCUAAAUUCAAACACUGAAUCCACGAACCCAAGUCUAUGAUCUCCAAUAAAUAGUUAUUUAUUAGUAAAUGGAUGAUAAUAAUAAAGAAAGAUACUUACAGCCUUGGCCUCCUUGUACUCAUUCACAGCCUUGUGAGAUGCGUAAGAGAACUUAACGUCAGGGCCCAACUCAGGAACAAUGUAAUGGCUGCACCAAUUAAACAUCAUUACAUUUUUCCACAACUAAGAAAAACAAACAACGUCACUGCAAGACUGCAAGAUCAGAGUUGGAGACUCACUAGUUGGUGUCAAACCACUUGGUCAUCUCCAUGGCGGGAACAGAGGCGUUACCUCUAGCCAUGGAGAAGUAAACAUCCAAACCGAUCUCACCACUGGUGUAACCGUAUCUGGGUGGAACAGCACCGAGCAUGGCGGUGGUGUCGAGAACCUGGUCGUAGUGAGCAAAGGUGUUGCUGGGGAUGUACUUGGUCCCAGCCUCAGACAUCUGCUUCCAGAUGUUAGCCCUGAGAUCAGCGGACACCUUCUGAAGAUCCUCAGCAGUGCUCUUUCCAUCCCAGAAUGAUUCCAAUGCGAACUUGAGCUCUCUCUUAGGGCCCAUACGUGGGUAUCCAACAAUGUGUGACGCCAUUUUGAUUUCUUUUUUUUUACUGCAUCAAACACAAACCAAAUCAAGAUCAGUAUCAAAUAGUAAAAUACAUUCUCUCUUUCAUAACUUUGUUAAUAUAAUAAUAAUAAAUAAGUUUCAUACUCCAAGAAAGCUGCAACUACAGUUCACGUGUUAACAAAUUAAAAUAAAAUAAAAUCGAAAAGUAGAGCUAUAGCAGCUUUUGUCGUAUUAAUGAUUGAAUGAGUCCACUUCAAAGUAGAAUCGAAAACUUUUAGAUCAAAAUCACAUGCAACAUUUGAUGAUGAUUCAAAGCGGAUCUAACACAGACCAAUGAUCAUUUUCGAACGAUGAAUAUAGAUCGCAGAUCAGAUCCAGAUCUACAGAUCGACCGACACCAAAAAAAAAAAACUCAGAUCUGCAAAUGAUGAGCUCUCUCACCGUUUAGAUCUCAGUGAUAAACACGCAAUACGAACAAACGGAUCGGGGAGGAAUGAGCUAAUAUAUUUGAAUUUAAAAAAAUCACACUCGGUAAGUAAUAAACAAUAACGUGGAGACGAAAACGAAAUGAGAAGGGGAAGGGAGCUAAAUAAGGGAGACGUGGGGAAGCCAUAAAAUCUCGGAGACGUACCUCACGGAGGAAGAAUCGGAGAAAGAGGUUUGGCUACGAUGAAGAGAGAGCGAGGAAGGAGAGUGGCUCUGUGAGUUUAUUUAUAGAUACAAUCGUUGGGCUCUGUGUGAUGUGUAGAUCUGGUGGUGGAUAUUUUAAGCAAUAAUCAUAUAUUUCAACAUUUUAUUUUAUUUAGUUUUUCUCUCAUUUUCUUUCUUUCUAAUACGGCUAUUUAUGUGUUCUGAUUUUCUGAGAUCAUUUUCUAAUUUUCUUACCAUAAUUAAGAAAAUUAAUUACUUUUAGAUUGUAAAAGUAAAACUAGACCAAAAAAGGAACAUGUAUGGACGGAACUAUGAGCAAUUUUAUUUGUUCUUCAAUGUAUUUUUAGCUAGGUAUGUAUUUUUAUUUUUUAGCCUUAAGCAUUUAAAAUGUUAACAGUUUAUACAUGGAUACUUGGAUUAUUUUUUAAGAACGAACUUUUAGAUGAUAUCUUAACGAAUUGACAGGAAUAUCGUAAUUACAAAUUUGUAAAAUACCGGUAAUGGUAUUAAAUAUUUUCAUUAGUAAAGCUAAAUCAUUUUUACAGCAGUAAAGUCCAAUCAUUUAAUUAAAACGUAUUUAUAAAAGUAUAUUAAAGCGAUUAAAUAGAGGAUUAAAACGUGAAGGGGAGUUGGUGUCUACGUAUAUGAGGGAUUAGUAGUAGUGGGUCCUACGGAGGUUGGUGGAGAUUCACAUUUCACAGUGAAGUUUCUGUUAAAUACGGCUGCGUUUAGUGUCGGCCCGAAGAGUAUCGACAUCGAGGCCUGUUCCGCAGUGUUUUGAAAACCAAGUUGGAGUGGUUAUUGAACCUGAUUAUUUUUGAUGAAUUUGAUUUUUUGCUUCAAUACUUUUUGGAAUGUUAUUAUUAGAUUCAUACAAGUUAAAUUUUCGCUAGUUAACAUGUAACUAUUUCGAUGAUGGUUCAUUUUCCUCUUUAUACAGUGGUCAGUAAAUACUAGUAGUAUUCAUCUUUUUUUUUUUGGAUCAAACUAGUAGUAUUCAUCUAUCACCCACCAAUAAAAGCUUAGGCAACUGAGAUAAACUGGAUCAAAAUAUUUUGGUGGAUGAAUAUAGUAGUAGGUAAUGAAAGGGAGAUUAUGGAUCCAUGAUGUAUAUGUUAUUGUUUUAAGAUUCAUAAACAAAGUGAUGAGUGCUCUUUUACCAAAAAAAAAAAGAAAAAAAAAAAAAAAGAAGUGAUGAGUGGUCUUCAUCUUGUUGUUUGCUUUGAUAAUUCGGCCACCAAACAUUGAUUCUAUUAACGUCAUCGCUUCCCUUGAUUACAUGGUAAUUAUCCUUCUCGUCUUAUUUUACUGAAUUUUUGGGUGUAUUUUGAAUAUUAGUGAUAUUCACAAGACUCAACAGUCCAUAUCACAUACUGCUAAUAGAUUACGAAUAUAAUAUUUAUGCACAGUGAGAUAAGUAUGUUAUAUCUUAUACCAGUCGUUAAUCCUCAGUUUUAUUACGCAACUCAAAGUCUAACCUAUAGAAUAGCACAUACACUAGUUGAUUAUUAAUUAUAAAGCUCUUUUGCGUGACUUGUAAGAUUAUUCUAAGUUCAACAACUAGUUUGGAACUGUGUAGGUCUAUUUUAAGAGAUGACGUUGUUGCAAACUCAGAAAACAGUCAACAAAGUGCUGCUUUUCCUUACGGACGCCAACAAAAUGCUUAUUAAAGACUGUUUGACACAAUAUGGAUACUAAAUUAUAGGCUAACUAUAUAGUUUGUAUUAGUUUUAUUACUAGCAAUUGUCAAUCGCACGGCAUAAGUUUAACAGCAGUUACAUGUGACUUUACAAGAAGAUUUGCAUAUGCAUCCUUAAAGUUGUUUUGUCGGUGGAUUUAGAUCUACCAUCAUAAUAACAGCAAAAGUCGUACGAGCAUUUAAUGAAAAUUCUCCUUUUCUUUUUUCAUUUUCAUUUUAUUGUUCUGCAACCUAAACAAGUAAUACCAUAAUCAAGCUCAAACGAAAAAAAAAGAAGAAGAAGAUCUGUAAUAUACUUUAUGAAAUUAUUGAACUAAUUCGUAUGCGAAUUGUGAAAAUUAUACGACUUAUGAUAUAUGGUGUACGCAUCCCUUUUUUUUUGCCAUCUUGAGUUUGGUAGAUCGUUUAGUAAACGAAUCACAAGAUCCAAAAACAUCCUUAUUGCUGGCUUAUUAAACUUUGUGAUUAAACUAUGAUAAAGGAAUGCUUUUAGGCAUGUGACAUAUUACAUGAUUACAUAUGCAUUAUGAUUUGAAUUGAAAUAUGAUAAUUUAAAUAAUUUAUAAAUCUUUUGUAAUGUAUACAUGCUAAUUUAAAGAACACAAAGACUAAGAAAUUAUUCAUCUAAUCUCAAUCACAAGGCUCCAUGUUAAAAGUGAGUAAAACAUGAAAAUGAAAGCCAACCACUUUUUAGGUAGAGUCCAUUCUUAUAGAUUACACAAUGCUAACCCUAUAGCUAGAGUUGAAAAGAACAACGAUGUAGAGCAACUCUACCUUUUAGACAAUGUUCAAAGAAGAAUCCAAACAUCAAUAAUUUCUGGAAUAAAAUUUAGGAGACUAACUUCUUAGCCUUGUAUUCUCUGCGAACUCUCCUGAGCUCUACAGUCUGGGGGAAGGAUCCAAUGGUGGUGGUUGGCAGGAUUGGGAGGUUAAGCUUCUUCUGCUGAGCAUCUAACCUAGCGCUAACAUUAGUUGCACGACGGUGGUCUGAGCCCUUCAAAGCAGCAGCCUGAGAUAACAAAUCAGAAACCAUCUCGAUCAAUAAAUGCUAAGGAGAAAUCAGUGACUGUGGAGAUGGCUGAGGUUUGCGCCAAACUUACAGCCUUCUGGACACCCUCGUUGGUGACUCUUGGGGAAGACCUCCUUGAAGCCAAAGCAGCAGCGUUGGCGGAGAAAAGGGCCUGAAAGGGAAUACAAUAUUAGCAUUCUAGUGUUUACUAAAUCAUUUACAUUGCAAAACUAUUCAAGGAUUUAAUAAAGUAGGUGGAUAAAAUUUCUACCUCAUCCUUCUGACCAGCCAAAGCCUUGGCCAGUGCGUUCACUUCAACGAUCUUCUGGGCAGCAAACGCCAACCAUGACUUGAUUUCGUCGUCAAGCUUGGUCUCGUUUACAAGAUCGACAGCGGUGUGGAGAAGAGAGCAGGAGGUUGAGACCACAAGCUUGUCUGAAUCAAUGCAGAAAGAUAACAGAUCAACGUUUGAAAUAUUUGUUUAGUAUAUUUUCGGGUGACUCAGGUAAAAGGCAGGCGAUUCUGGAAGCACUUAUUUACCUUUUCCAACAACACCCUCAAGUGCCUCCAAGGUGCUGAGAGACGCAGCAAAGUCAUUGGCCCAGAUGUUCCUUCCAUCAACAACACCAGCGAAGAGGUACUUUCCCUCGGGGAAACCAGCCUUGACUAAAUCAAGGGUCUUUGUGCCACGAACCAAGUCAAAUCCAAAGGCAGUCACACCCUUCAACGAAGUUAGGGUCUUGUAUGCUUCAGCAGGGAUAUCAGCGAAGUAGGUCUCAACAAGAACAUUCAAACCAGACAGAGUUGAUUCAAGUUCAGCAUAAGCCCCAGUGAGGGCCUGGAGUUUGUGGCCCUCAAGAUCCAUGACAAGGACAGGCUCGUCAAGCUGAAUCCAGGUGGCACCAGCUGCCUUAAGCUCUGUGAUCA